rnacentral:rRNA from 1 species
AUUGAACGCUGGCGGCAGGCCUAACACAUGCAAGUCGAGCGGUAGCACAGAGAGCUUGCUCUCGGGUGACGAGCGGCGGACGGGUGAGUAAUGUCUGGGAAACUGCCUGAUGGAGGGGGAUAACUACUGGAAACGGUAGCUAAUACCGCAUAAUGUCGCAAGACCAAAGUGGGGGACCUUCGGGCCUCUUGCCAUCAGAUGUGCCCAGAUGGGAUUAGCUAGUAGGUGGGGUAAUGGCUCACCUAGGCGACGAUCCCUAGCUGGUCUGAGAGGAUGACCAGCCACACUGGAACUGAGACACGGUCCAGACUCCUACGGGAGGCAGCAGUGGGGAAUAUUGCACAAUGGGCGCAAGCCUGAUGCAGCCAUGCCGCGUGUGUGAAGAAGGCCUUCGGGUUGUAAAGCACUUUCAGCGGGGAGGAAGGCGUUAAGGUUAAUAACCUUGUCGAUUGACGUUACCCGCAGAAGAAGCACCGGCUAACUCCGUGCCAGCAGCCGCGGUAAUACGGAGGGUGCAAGCGUUAAUCGGAAUUACUGGGCGUAAAGCGCACGCAGGCGGUCUGUCAAGUCGGAUGUGAAAUCCCCGGGCUCAACCUGGGAACUGCAUUCGAAACUGGCAGGCUAGAGUCUUGUAGAGGGGGGUAGAAUUCCAGGUGUAGCGGUGAAAUGCGUAGAGAUCUGGAGGAAUACCGGUGGCGAAGGCGGCCCCCUGGACAAAGACUGACGCUCAGGUGCGAAAGCGUGGGGAGCAAACAGGAUUAGAUACCCUGGUAGUCCACGCCGUAAACGAUGUCGAUUUGGAGGUUGUGCCCUUGAGGCGUGGCUUCCGGAGCUAACGCGUUAAAUCGACCGCCUGGGGAGUACGGCCGCAAGGUUAAAACUCAAAUGAAUUGACGGGGGCCCGCACAAGCGGUGGAGCAUGUGGUUUAAUUCGAUGCAACGCGAAGAACCUUACCUGGUCUUGACAUCCACAGAACUUUCCAGAGAUGGAUUGGUGCCUUCGGGAACUGUGAGACAGGUGCUGCAUGGCUGUCGUCAGCUCGUGUUGUGAAAUGUUGGGUUAAGUCCCGCAACGAGCGCAACCCUUAUCCUUUGUUGCCAGCGGUUAGGCCGGGAACUCAAAGGAGACUGCCAGUGAUAAACUGGAGGAAGGUGGGGAUGACGUCAAGUCAUCAUGGCCCUUACGACCAGGGCUACACACGUGCUACAAUGGCAUAUACAAAGAGAAGCGACCUCGCGAGAGCAAGCGGACCUCAUAAAGUAUGUCGUAGUCCGGAUUGGAGUCUGCAACUCGACUCCAUGAAGUCGGAAUCGCUAGUAAUCGUAGAUCAGAAUGCUACGGUGAAUACGUUCCCGGGCCUUGUACACACCGCCCGUCACACCAUGGGAGUGGGUUGCAAAAGAAGUAGGUAGCUUAACCUUCGGGAGGGCGCUUACCACUUUGUGAUUCAUGACUGGGGUGA